UACGUAGGGUGCAAGCGUUAAUCGGAAUUACUGGGCGUAAAGCGUGCGCAGGCGGUUCUAUAAGACAGAUGUGAAAUCCCCGGGCUCAACCUGGGAACUGCAUUUGUGACUGUAGAGCUGGAGUACGGUAGAGGGGGAUGGAAUUCCGCGUGUAGCAGUGAAAUGCGUAGAUAUUGCUCGGAAGGCCAACGGCGAAGGCAGGUUACUGGUACGCAACUGACACUGAGGCACGAAAGCGUGGGGAGCAAACAGG
rnacentral:rRNA from 1 species